AUUGAACGCUGGCGGCAGGCCUAACACAUGCAAGUCGAGCGAGCGGCGGACGGGUGAGUAAUGUCUGGGAACCUGCCCGAUGGAGGGGGAUAACUACUGGAAACGGUAGCUAAUACCGCAUACCAUCGGAUGUACCCAUAUGGGAUUAGCUAGUAGGUGGGGUAACGGCUCACCUAGGCGACGAUCUCUAGCUGGUCUGAGAGGAUGACCAGCCACAGUGGAACUGAGACACGGCCCAGACUCCUACGGGAGGCAGCAGUGGGGAAUAUUGCACAAUGGGCGCAAGCCUGAUGCAGCCAUGCCGCGUGUAUGAAGAAGGCGUUAGGGUUGUAAAGUACUUUCAGCGGGGAGGCGUUACUCGCAGAAGAAGCACCGGCUAACUCCGUGCCAGCAGCCGCGGUAAUAC
rnacentral:rRNA from 1 species